rnacentral:tRNA from 1 species
GCCGAAGUGGUGAAACUGGUAGACGCGCUGGACUCAAAAUCCAGUAGGGGCAACCCUGUGAGAGUUCGAUUCUCUCCUUCGGCA